rnacentral:rRNA from 1 species
GACGAACGCUGGCGGCGUGCUUAACACAUGCAAGUCGAACGGAAAGGCCCUGUUUUUGUUGGGUGCUCGGGUGGCGAACGGGUGUGUAACACGUGAGUAACCUGCCCUUGACUUUGGGAUAACUUCAGGAAACUGGGGAUAAUACCGGAUAGGAGCUCCUGAUGCAUGGGGGGGGUUGGAAAGUUGGGGCGGUGGGGGAUGGACUCGCGGGUUAUCAGCUUGUGGGUGGGGUAGUGGCUUACCAAGGGUUUGACGGGUGGCCGGCCUGAGAGGGUGACCGGCGACAUUGCGACUGAGAUACGGACCAGACGCGUACGGGAGGCAGCAGGGGGGAAUAUUGCACAAUGGGGGGAAGCCUGAUGCGGCAACGCCGCGUGCGGGAUGACGGCCUUCGGGUUGUAAACCGCUUUGGCCUGUGACGAAGCGGGAGUGACGGUAAUGGGUAAAGAAGCACCGGCUAACUACGUG